UACGAAGGGGGCUAGCGUUGCUCGGAAUCACUGGGCGUAAAGGGUGCGUAGGCGGGUCUUUAAGUCAGGGGUGAAAUCCUGGAGCUCAACUCCAGAACUGCCUUUGAUACUGAGGAUCUUGAGUUCGGGAGAGGUGAGUGGAACUGCGAGUGUAGAGGUGAAAUUCGUAGAUAUUCGCAAGAACACCAGUGGCGAAGGCGGCUCACUGGCCCGAUACUGACGCUGAGGCACGAAAAGCGUGGGGAGCAAACAGGGA
rnacentral:rRNA from 1 species